UUUGUCCUGCGGGAAAAUAUUGAUUGGUCCUGCGCUUUGCAGCCCGUGUCCUAAAGAAUUGCAUUCAGAAAGGCUUUGGUGGAGCUCCAGGGCGGUCGUGUUUCCCGUUUGGUGCACGUGGCUUCGGCUUCAGACAGAGGUCUCUUCUCAAGCGGCUCUUUUGUUUCCUGCUUUCCAAUUUAAAUAUUUCUGGUGACGAGGCGAUACCUGCUGCCCAGCUAGCGGUCGCUCCACGCAGCUUCACCUUCCACCUAACAGUUUCUCUCCAGUUCGCCCCUCUGUCCUACAAGCCGCCGCACAUAGAGUAACCUUCAACAUGUAACACGACCCAGCUUCCACAGAUUACUCGUUUCCUAACGAAUUUUUCAUUGGUCGGUUUCGUUGUUCGACAGUAAUGAUGACUGCCUCCCUGAGGUCCUGGGUUCAAUUCCCAAGUCGGGUUCAAUUCCCGAAGUCCCGAGCAAUGUCUCACUGGAUUUACUCCAGUUCGAGAUGCUCGUAGCAUGUACCUGAUGGUCAUGUUACAUGUAGUUACUGUUGGAUAACCGCUUUGCUGCAUUUAUUUAUUUGCCAUUCCAUCCGGGAGAUAAAUAAAUGCGUGCUUACUAAACCGUCUGGUAUACUUGUUUAAUUAUCUUUCUAUGUGAUUGAGAUUAAACGAGUUACCAAUGCAGUGGAAAAACCGUUGAAAACUAGUAAUCUGUGGAAGUUGUACGUGUCGGGUCCCCAUGCGACAUGCGCUCUGUAUGUUCUAGGUGCAAUGCAAUAAGGUGAUAUAUUUUGUACGUUCGCUUCCAUCAACUUUAACAGCUCAUACCCAACAUCCAACAUGGGCUGUUAAGGUUACCAAUACAAUAAUUUGGUUACUUUCAUAUUACUUCUGGUCACCCAGUAUAUGGUCUUUAUUGGGUCACGGGCAGUGAUGAACCUAACCAAACUGACUUAAGCUCUUGAUAUUUUUUCUUAUAUUCUUAAAGUUGCCUUUAGUACUUAAGUAUUUUUAUAAGAAAAUAACUUUAUUCACACCCACAAAUAUACAGUAUGACAUAGUAUAAGUGUUAUUUAUAUGAUGAUAUAUAUUUUUGUAAUAAAAAUAACAAAAUGUUGGUAUUGAAAUGGUCUAAGGUGGUUUGAGGUAACUUGACUCAAUUCCGUACGUACCAACUUUGCGGAUACCAUUAGUUUGACAAAUAUUACAACAUCAUUCCUCGACAUUGUAGGUAAGUGAUAAAUUGAUAGCCAAGCUAAAUGAACAUGAAAAUAGAUUGUAAGUGAUAGUAUAUAAGAAACUGUAAAUAUGAAUAAAAAAUAAUAAUAAGUGAAA